GACGAACGCUGGCGGCGUGCCUAACACAUGCAAGUCGAACGGUAAGGCCCUGCUUUUGUGGGGUGCGCGAGUGGCGAACGGGUGAGUAACACGUGAGUAACCUGCCCUUGACUGUGGGACAACAUCUGGAAACUGGGGCUAAUACCGCAUAGGAGCACCAGCCGCAUGGGGGGGGAUGGAAAAUGGCGGCGGUGGGGGAUGGAAUCGCGGCGUAUCAUCUUGUUGGUGGGGUGGUGUCUUACCAAGGCUAGGACGGGCAGCCGGCCUGGGAGGGUGAUCGGCCACAAUGGAACUGGGAUGCGACCCGGACUCGUACGGGAGGGAGGGGAGGAGAGUAGUGCACAGUACGCGGAGGCCUGAUGCAGCGACGCCGCGUGGGGGAUGACGGCAUGCGGGUUGGAACGUGCUUUCGCGUGGGACGAAGAGUGAGUGACGGUAACGAGUAAAGAAGCGACGGCUAACUACGUG
rnacentral:rRNA from 1 species